CUCUACUAAAAAUACAAAAAAUUAGCUGGGCAUGGUGGGAUGGGGGGUGCCUGUAAUCCCAGCUACUAGGGAGGCUGAAGCAGGAGACUCGCUUGAACCCGGGCACUGGAGGUUGCAGUGAGCCAAGACUGUGCCAUUGCACUCCAGCCUGGACAGCAAGAGUGAAACUCCAUCUCAAAAAAUAAAAAAAUUUAAAAAAACAAGUGUUGGCAAGGAUGUAGAGAAAUUGGAACCUUUGUGCUUUGCUAGUGGGAAUGUAAAGUAGUGCAGCUGCUGUGGAAAAUCAUUAGUUUCUGAAAGUUAAAUAUAUAGUUACCAUGUGACUCAACACUCUGCCUGCAGACCUCCGCCUCCCAGGUUCAAGCGAUUCUCCUGCGUCAGCCUGCCAAGUAGCUGGGAUUACAGGCACCCGC
rnacentral:lncRNA from 1 species